AAUGAACGCUGGCGGCGCGCCUAAUACAUGCAAGUCGAGCGAGAAGACGUAGCAAUACGUUUGUAAGGCGGCGAACGGGUGAGGAAUACAUGGGUAACCUACCCUCGAGUGGGGAAUAACUAGCCGAAAGGUUAGCUAAUACCGCGUACGCUUCUUGGACUUCGGUUCAGGGAGGAAAGCGAUACCGUGGGUAUCGCGCUCUUGGAUGGGCUCAUGUCCUAUCAGCUUGUUGGUGAGGUAACGGCUCACCAAGGCUUCGACGGGUAGCUGGUCUGAGAGGACGAUCAGCCACACUGGCACUGCGACACGGGCCAGACUCCUACGGGAGGCAGCAGUAAGGAAUAUUGCGCAAUGGGCGAAAGCCUGACGCAGCGACGCCGCGUGGGGGAGUGAAGGUACGUU
rnacentral:rRNA from 1 species